CGGUCCGGUUUUCGUAGGUGACCUGCGGAGGUCAUUACCUAGAGUUGUAGGCUUUGCCUGCUAUCUCUUACCCAUGUCUUUUGAGUACCUUACGUUUCCUCGGUGGGUUCGCCCACCGAUUGGACAAAUUUAAACCCUUUGCAGUUGAAAUCAGCGUCUGAAAAAACUUAAUAGUUACAACUUUCAACAACGGAUCUCUUGGUUCUGGCAUCGAUGAAGAACGCAGCGAAAUGCGAUAAGUAGUGUGAAUUGCAGAAUUCAGUGAAUCAUCGAAUCUUUGAACGCACAUUGCGCCCCUUGGUAUUCCAUGGGGCAUGCCUGUUCGAGCGUCAUUUGUACCUUCAAGCUCUGCUUGGUGUUGGGUGUUUGUCUCCUGUAGACUCGCCUCAAAACAAUUGGCAGCCGGCGUAUUGAUUUCGGAGCGCAGUACAUCUCGCGCUUUGCACUCAUAACGACGACAUCCAAAAGUACAUUUUUACACUCUUGACCUCGGAUCAGGUAGGGAUACCCGCUGAACUUAAGCAUAUCAAAGGCCGGGAGGAAA
rnacentral:rRNA from 1 species